UUGGUGAGGUAAAGGCUUACCAAGGCUUCGAUCAGUAGCUGGUCUGAGAGGACGACCAGCCACACUGGGACUGAGACACGGCCCAGACUCCUACGGGAGGCAGCAGUGGGGAAUUUUGGACAAUGGGGGCAACCCUGAUCCAGCCAUGCCGCGUGAGUGAAGAAGGCCUUCGGGUUGUAAAGCUCUUUCAGCCGGAACGAAACGGUCACGGUUAAUAACUGUGAUCACUGACGGUACCGGAAGAAGAAGCACCGGCUAACUACGUGCCAGCAGCCGCGGUAAUACGUAGGGUGCGAGCGUUAAUCGGAAUUACUGGGCGUAAAGCGUGCGCAGGCGGUUUUGUAAGUCAGAUGUGAAAUCCCCGGGCUUAACCUGGGAACUGCGUUUGAAAUAAACAAGGCUA
rnacentral:rRNA from 1 species